GAUGAACGCUGACAGAAUGCUUAACACAUGCAAGUCCACUUGAAUUUGGGUUUUUACCUUAGGUUUGGGUGGCGGACGGGUGAGUAACGCGUAAAGAACUUGCCUCACAGCUAGGGACAACAUUUGGAAACGAAUGCUAAUACCUAAUAUUAUGAUAAUAGGGCAUCCUAUAAUUAUGAAAGCUAUAAGCGCUGUGAGAGAGCUUUGCGUCCCAUUAGCUAGUUGGAGAGGUAACGGCUCACCAAGGCGAUGAUGGGUAGCCGGCCUGAGAGGGUGAUCGGCCACAAGGGGACUGAGACACGGCCCUUACUCCUACGGGAGGCAGCAGUGGGGAAUAUUGGACAAUGGACCAAGAGUCUGAUCCAGCAAUUCUGUGUGCACGAUGAAGUUUUUCGGAAUGUAAAGUGCUUUCAGUUGGGAGGAAAGAAAUGACGGUACCAACAGAAGAAGUGACGGCUAAAUACGUG
rnacentral:rRNA from 1 species